rnacentral:rRNA from 1 species
AUGGAACAAGAUCAGGUUAAAUUAGCAGCACUAAUCGCGGAGCUAGAGGAGCCAGUGGGUCUCUGUGACUUGCCCGCAGUUGACCCUCCUAAUAGUAAGAGAAAGAAGGGGAGGGCAAUAAAGAAUUUUUCUGAGUGGAUAGAGAAAGAGCCUCCUGUGAAUUGGUCUUUGCUGCAUGACAUCCAUGGAGCUAGGUAUGGCCACAUGACAACCAAUCUUGCAGAGGUGUAUAACUUUGUACUUAGAGGGAAUAGAGCAUUGCCACUCACAGCUAUUGUGGAGGUCGUAUUCCAUGGCACUUUGAUAUAUUUCAUAGAAAGGCACGAGUUAGCAAGGAAGCAUAUUGCAGAUAAUCAGAACACACCUUAUUGUAGCCGUGUCAUUGAGUACAUGGCAAAGAAGAUAGAGAAAGCAAAGAAGCACACUGUGACACUCAUAGGUAAUCAGGAAAGGAGGUAUGAGGUUCAGCUUCCUACCGAUGGUUUUGGUUCUGCAAAUGAGGUGAAGACACACGAGGUAAAAAUUGGAACAGAAUUUUAUCCAACGUGUGAUUGCACAUGCAGCAAACCGAAGUUGUUGGACCUACCUUGCUCACAUGUGUUGGCUGCCUGUGGCCAGAUUGAGUUGGACGCUAUCUCCUUCAUGUACCCAUACUAUUUAAAAGACGCAGUACUCAACACAUGGACAGGUGAGAUGACAGGGUUUAGAGUCGUCUGCAAUUUCAACAAGGUAAACGACGGUGAGAGAGUAAUCCCAGAUGCAGAACUUCACCGAACAAGUAGGGGCAGACGAAAGGGCCGUCGCAUCCGAAACGAUAUGGACCAAUCUGAAGCUGGUGGAGCAACCAGAUAAUGUUUGUUAUGCGCGGCUUAUGGGCAUAGGAUGAAAUAUUGUCGCGACUUGAACAAAGAUGGUGCUUCCACAUCAACGACUGCGACAACAGGAGCAAGAGGCGGACGUGGUCGUGGCAGUCGAGCCUGA